rnacentral:rRNA from 1 species
UUCAUGCGGCAGCUACCAUGCAGUCGAGCGGUAACAGAUCCAGCUUGCUGGAUGCUGACGAGCGGCGGACGGGUGAGUAAUGCAUAGGAAUCUGCCCGAUAGUGGGGGAUAACCUGGGGAAACCCAGGCUAAUACCGCAUACGUCCUACGGGAGAAAGGGGGCUUCGGCUCCCGCUAUCGGAUGAGCCUAUGUCGGAUUAGCUAGUUGGUGAGGUAACGGCUCACCAAGGCCACGAUCCGUAGCUGGUCUGAGAGGAUGAUCAGCCACAUCGGGACUGAGACACGGCCCGAACUCCUACGGGAGGCAGCAGUGGGGAAUAUUGGACAAUGGGGGGAACCCUGAUCCAGCCAUGCCGCGUGUGUGAAGAAGGCCCUCGGGUUGUAAAGCACUUUCAGCGAGGAAGAACGCCUAGCGGUUAAUACCCGCUAGGAAAGACAUCACUCGCAGAAGAAGCACCGGCUAACUCCGUGCCAGCAGCCGCGGUAAUACGGAGGGUGCAAGCGUUAAUCGGAAUUACUGGGCGUAAAGCGCGCGUAGGUGGCUUGAUAAGCCGGUUGUGAAAGCCCCGGGCUCAACCUGGGAACGGCAUCCGGAACUGUCAAGCUAGAGUGCAGGAGAGGAAGGUAGAAUUCCCGGUGUAGCGGUGAAAUGCGUAGAGAUCGGGAGGAAUACCAGUGGCGAAGGCGGCCUUCUGGACUGACACUGACACUGAGGUGCGAAAGCGUGGGUAGCAAACAGGAUUAGAUAGCGUGGGGGUAUCAAA